UUAAGUCUUUCCAAUCUCUGA
rnacentral:piRNA from 1 species